UCUGGCCUGCCAUUGGCUCCCUGAGGUCUGAUGGCGUAGAGACAACUUCUCAGCUCUCUCUCUCUCUCUCUCUCUCUCUCUCUCUCUCUCUCUCUCUAUGUUGAACCGUUCUCUGGGAAAAGCAGAUCAGCGCUCCGCAGAGAUUCCAGAGGAUACGCUCUCCGGUUCUGUUGACGAAGGGACUCCCAGCCUGUGAAGGGAAGACGCAGAAUGAUGCCAC
rnacentral:lncRNA from 1 species